UCGGCGCCGACCUCGCCAUUGCCUCCUCAUUCUUUUUUUUUCAAAUUAUUCUCUUUUUCGUCCUCUUCUCCUCCUUCUUUUUUGUCGUCGUUGUCGAUGAUCCGAUUGUCGUGCCUGCGUUGGCUGUCGUCAUGAGCGUUUCUGAUUGCAUCGGCCGCACUUUCGCCUUCCGUCUCGCCGCUGCGGGCCUCAGCCUCAUCCUCGUCGGCCACAGCUCUGACAAGCUCCGCGACGUUGCCGCGUCCGCUUCUGCAGCCCGAAAAGGAAGAGAAAGAGGAAGAGGGCAAAACCCACAAAGUUACUAUUAAAAACUAAACAGCUCUUUAACGGAUCCUAAUCAGAAGAACAUAUCUAAAUACAUUAGGACAUUUACAGAAAUAGCUUAUAAAAGUUAAACUUUAUAUUAAUAUAUUUAUAAUUAAUUAUAUUUACGGUGACCUAUAUGCAAUUAACUUUAUAUUUUAUAACCGGCGCGCAUCGGUACAGCUUGACGAGCACCGUGCUGUAAAUAUUUUGACG
rnacentral:lncRNA from 1 species